rnacentral:rRNA from 1 species
CGCCGGGGAAUUACGAGCACAAGCUUGAAACCCAAAGGACUUGGCGGUGCUUUAGAUCCACCUAGAGGAGCCUGUUCUAUAAUCGAUACCCCACGCUAAACCUCGCCCCAUCUCGUCAUAUCCGCUUGUAUACCGCCGUCGUCAGCUUACACUGUGAAGCACAAAAAGUAAGCAGGAACGCUCCCCUAAAACGUCAGGUCAAGGUGCAGCUAAUGUUGGGGAAAGAAAUGGGCUACAUUCAUUCUUAAAUGAAUACGAAUGCAAAAAUGAAAUAAAAGCUGAAGGAGGAUUUAGAAGUAAGUUAGAAAAGAAAAUCU